rnacentral:rRNA from 1 species
UACGUAGGGGGCAAGCGUUGUCCGGAAUCAUUGGGCGUAAAGCGCGCGUAGGCGGCCCUGUAAGUCCGUUGUGAAAGUCGAAGGCUCAACCUUCGAAAGCCGAUGGAUACUACAGGGCUAGAGUCCGGAAGAGGCGAGUGGAAUUCCUGGUGUAGCGGUGGAAUGCGCAGAUAUCAGGAGGAACACCAAUAGCGAAGGCAGCUCGCUGGGACGGUACUGACGCUAAGGCGCGAAAGCCAGGGGAGCAAACGGG